CCAUUAGCUGACUGUGAGCAUCCACUUCUGUGUUUGCCAGGCCCCGACAUAGUCUCACAAGAGACAGCUACAUCUGGGUCCUUUCGAUAAAAUCUUGCUAGUGUAUGCAAUGGUGUUAUAAGUACCGCGCGCUAACCGAUUGCGCCACUGGAGCUCCCAAAAACAUCUCUUAAUGUUGAUGCUGCCAGGGGCUACUUGAAUAAGUAAAUCAGGCUUGGGGCUGGAGUCUAUGUCCACUCUGGUAUCAGGAGUCACUGCUGUGCCUUCAUGGGGUUUCAUAAGACCAGUAUGCCUACUAAUGGAAGACUGAGGUUCCUGAAGAGAAGCCCCUGUCCACUGGGAAUCAGCACUUGUUGUCUUUUUAGGGGCGCUUAGCAUAACCUAGGUUCACUUGGGAAGAGGGACCCUCAAUUGAAGAGCUGCUUUGAUCAGGAUGCUAUGGCCAUGUCUGGGAGAGAUUGUUCAGACUGAUGAAUGACAUGAGCGGGGCCAACUCUAGGCAGGUGGACCUGGCCUUUAUAAGAAAGCUAUGAGCCACUUAGGGAUCUGGUAAGUACUGUCUCCUUAGUUUCUGCUUCAGUCCCCGCCCUGAAUUCCUUCAGUCAUGGACCGUAACCUGGAAGCAUAAGCCAAGUAGAUCUCUUCUUCCUGCAUCCAGUCAGAGUAGAAGAGCAAAAUACAGCGCUCAUCUUCUACGGGUAGACAGCAAGCAGGAUGCUCACUCCAUGGCAGCCCUGGAACAAGGCCACACUGUUGGGUCCUUGCUCACUUCCUCCCAACCACCAUGCCAGGGGAGUCCCCUACAUGCUGGUGGUCCCCUGCAGUAGUUCAUGUCCCCAGCAGACACAGAGGGAACACUAAGCUUUUCUUGGAUAGCUCCGCUGCCCACAGAGCUCUCUUUUCUCAUCUUCCUUCCUACCUCUCUGCUUUCUAGCCUCUGACCAGCAACCUGAGCAAGGAUCAUACUGCCUAAGCCUUUCCCAUGUGAAUGUUGGUGCUCCUUCCAGAGAGGAUUUCCAGUGAUACUGAACCCCCUCCCAGGGUCACCCCUUAACUGGAAUAUGGAGUGGCCGGCUGACUUUUGGGUUGAUAUUUACAUAUGCAGAGAUGCUGCCCUGUUAAGAACCUGUGUAAAUGCUUUCACUGGAGAAAGACAGUCACCUUGCGACAGAGUUCCACAAGCACUCAGAAUUUCCUGCUUCAGAACCUCGUAAGCUGACAAGUUCGAGAGACGGUCUCUAUGCGUUGGUAGUGAGAGAUGAAAGAGAUGCUUCAUCUCUACGUUCACACUGAAACCACCUCACAGGUUUGCCUGUCUGGAAAAGCCUCUGAAAGAAGUGAGGAGGGGCUAGCCUGGUUUUGCACAUUUACCAUUUGGUUAUUUUUGUUUGUUUGUUUGGUUGGUUUGGUUUUUGCUUUUGUUUAUUCAAGACAAGGUCUCUCUGUGUAGCCCUGGCUGUCCUGGAACUCACUCUGUAGACCAAGCUGGCCUUGAAUUCACAGAAUUCUGCCUGCCUCUGCCUCCCAAGUGCUGGGAUUAAAAGUGUACACCCCCA
rnacentral:lncRNA from 1 species